CAUCGCUCAACGGAUAAAAGCUACCCCGGGGAUAACAGGCUUAUCUCCCCCAAGAGUCCACAUCGACGGGGAGGUUUGGCACCUCGAUGUCGGCUCAUCGCAUCCUGGGGCUGUAGUCGGUCCCAAGGGUUGGGCUGUUCGCCCAUUAAAGCGGUACGCGAGCUGGGUUCAGAACGUCGUGAGACAGUUCGGUCCCUAUCCGUCGUGGGCGUAGGAAAUUUGAGAGGAGCUGUCCUUAGUACGAGAGGACCGGGAUGGACGCACCGCUGGUGUACCAGUUGUUCUGCCAAGGGCAUAGCUGGGUAGCUAUGUGCGGAAGGGAUAAGUGCUGAAAGCAUCUAAGCAUGAAGCCCCCCUCAAGAUGAGAUUUCCCAUAGCGUAAGCUAGUAAGAUCCCUGAAAGAUGAUCAGGUUGAUAGGUUCGAGGUGGAAGCAUGGUGACAUGUGGAGCUGACGAAUACUAAUAGAUCGAGGACUUAACCAUA
rnacentral:rRNA from 1 species